CCCCUGGAUGAUGAGGAACUCAUCCAGUACAUCAUUACCGGGCUUGGUGAAGGGUACAGCGAGGUGGUCUCUGCUGUGUGUGCUCGUUCUGAGCCACUCACAAUAGGAGAUCUAUACUCGCAAGUGCUGAACUACGAGG
rfam:Oryza rufipogon genomic scaffold, chr07